AUAGCUCAGUUGGUAGAGCAGAGGACUGAAAAUCCUCGUGUCAC
rnacentral:tRNA from 1 species